AAGGUUUUUCUUUAAAAUAGUUAAAUAUUAUUACCGAAAUAAAUGAUUUAUUGAUUGAUUAUUAAAAAAUGCAGGCACAACCAUGCGAAUGCAUUUUAAAUUUGAAACUUUCCAGACUUCGAUCUGCAUUUACUUCCAUUUGUGAUUUAUUGGACCAACAAGGUUGGAAUAUAUUAUCGGAACAUCUCAAAGCAUUAAACGUGUUGGAUGCAAGAGAUAUGAGUGCAAUACAUCAUGCUUCUUCAUUAGCAGUUGCCAGCCCAACAAAAGAACUUUUAUUGCGAUUGGAACAGAAAAGUAAUAUCGAUUUCUCGGUGCAUGCUUUAUUAUUUUACAUGAAUUCUUUACAAAUGCCUCAAUAUUUUCAAAUUUAUAUGAUGAUUGCUCCUUUACAUAAGAAAAAUUGUAGAAUUUCAUUUGAAAAUGAAAGAAAAAGGAUUCUGGAUGAAUUGUUUUCAGAAGAUCAUGCAUCGACUAUGAUGCAACAAUCACCAAACGCUGGCUAUCCUAUGGUUCAUGAAUCUCCAUUGACCAAUUUUACUUUUAACAACCUACAAACUUUUCCUGUAUUAUCUUCAGGAGUUUCACAUGCAAUCCCAAAUACAAUGUUCCCACCAACAUUAAAUCUAACAAACGAAAAAGGGAUUCAAAUGCCUUUUUCGACGCAGGCAUACAAACAACCUGGCUUACAAAUGAAUUGUAUUAAUAAUCUUUCUCAUCCAAAUAAGCCUUACCUUUGUAUUGUUGAGCACCCUAAAGAACAAAGAUUAAAUUGUGGAGAAGGUUUAAUUUUAAGGUGCGUAGCUGAAAGUGAUCAAGCCAAUGUACAUUAUUCCUGGCAACGGGAUGGUAUUAAAUUACCUGAUCAAACUAACAAAGUUCUUAUGAUAUUAGAUGCGCAACCAUCGGAUGAUGGAAUCUACGUUUGUACUGUUACAUGUGAUAACUCACUCAGUGCUGUUUCAAAUGCAGCAAAAGUAGAAAUUGUGAAAGAAUUGGGAUGUUCUAUAAAUAAAGAUGUACACUCUGAUUAUGAUAAUGUUUCUAUGACUGCAACUGCCAAAUUUGCUUUGUUAAUUGCCAAUGAAGAUUAUGUCCAUAACACGACAUUAGCUUCUGCAACGAAUGACGUAGCAGCGUUGGCCUCGACGUUAAGAAAAAAACUUCAAUUUAAAACAGUAUCACUCGUCAACCUUAACCUAUCUGAGAUGGAACGAGCUGUUAAGGUGUUUUGUAGUUAUUUAAUAAAUGGAUCAUAUUGUGUUUUAUAUCUGGCUGGACACGGCUUCGAAAAUGAUGGACAAUGUUAUAUUGUCCCAACAGAUGCUCCAAAAGAUUACACCUAUGAGAAUUGUUUUUCUGUCAAAAAGAUGAUUCAAGAUAUAAGUUUGCAUGAUCUUCAUUUGACAGUUGUGUUAUUGGACGUCUGUAGGCGACGCAAUGAACGUGCGGUCAAACUCCCUGAGCCAACUCAUAAUAAAUUUAAAUCGUGCAAUUUUGUUAUCAGUUUUGCAACUAUGGAAAGUGGAAUGGCAUACGAGGUGAAAGGUCGUAAAUUAGGAGCAUAUGUUUCUAAUCUUCAGAAUCAUUUGAGCAAGGACAAACGCAUUACUAGAGUUUUGGAACUUGUUCAUCAAGACAUGCAUAAAUGUGAAUUAACCAGAGGAGUUCAACAGCCAGAAUUCAAAUCCAAUAUGUUUGAAGACAGAAAAUUAACCGACCCAUUGAAAUCUCCUUUCAAUGCAGAAAAGCAGAAUAUACAUGACUAUGAAUGGAAUGAAGUACAUGUUGGUCAGAAGCCAAUAUUAUUUUUUUUCGAAUCUUGUGGGGUAUAUGUAAAACUUAAUGUAACAUGUCUAUUCUCAAAUAUCCUCCUAAUUGAAGCAAUUGUCAUUGAUAAAGGUGGUACGAGCAUUUGUAAUGUAUCAAUCAAUCUCACUUCUGAUUCGCAAUCUCAGAAUGGGAGCAGUACAUCCUGUAUUAGACUGGAAGAUUUACAAAGACUUAAUACUCACAUGAAAAUUUUACCCAUCUCUAUUAAUAUAAGCUAUGUUAUUAAUGAAUUCAUAUUUGAAGAAAGUUGGGAUGAUAAUAUUGAUAUUCCUUUUAUAACCUGGUGGAUGCCUGAGGAAUAGUUUAUAUUAGCACUGAAAAAGUGAUUUUUUUGAUAUGGUAUAUAACUAAUGUAAUGCUAAUUUGUAAUGGUGCAAUUUUAGCUGUCCACUUCUAAUGUUAACUUUUUUAGGUGUCACACACACUCACUCAAAAGUUACAGAGAACCGGUUCUGAGCAAAGCUAUUCGUAUAUGCAAUCACUGAUAUUCUAAGAGCUUCCUUACAAUAUAAAUACAUUUAACCAUAAAAUUUUACUUUUAAUAAUUACCAACUUUAGGCAUUUUUAAAUGGAAUAUUCACCUUCGAUUGGCUUAGUUUUUAGGUAAGAAACCUAUUUCCAUCAUUUUGGGACUAUGUAGACUUAGGAAGUAAACAAGAAAAAAGGACUUGUUAUUUGUGUGAUGCUAUCUUAGAUUUAUUUAAUUAAUUCAACAUAUUUAUAGGGAUUUUUAUCUGUUUGGUUCUAGGUCGUAUUGACCAUUGGUGCAUUAAUUUCAUAUUAACGUUAUAAACAGUUUUUGCUUCAUGUAAUUUGAAUAGUUCAUUAUUUUAUUUAAGUUUACUUUUCUGUUACUUUUUUAAAAUAUAAUUUCAAGAUCAUGCGCGACGUAGUGGAUUAGAAUAAUCAUGAACAAGUAAAUUAAAUUAAACCGAAUGCAUUUUCAAAAUAAUAUGUUGUUAUUUGAAAUCAUUGUUACAUGAGAAAUUUCGAUAUAUUACGGUAUAUAUUUUAUGUGUCGUCUAUUUUGCAUUAUUGCUUUACAUUCGUAUUUUUUGUAAAAAAUAUUUUCACGAACACAAAGUGGUCUAUACACGUACACAAAGUGGGGCGGCGGCCUAGAGGUUAAAUUAUUUGACUUGACUAUGGGUUAAAUUCCAUACCCAUUGGCCACCACCCACUCAGGAUGUAAUAAAUGGCAUAGGCAUUGAUGAAUCGAAAAAAUUCCUGUUUUUCCAAACUAUAGUAGCUCCUAACGAUAUAUAGAGAAAUUAAUUUCAAAUUUGUGGUCAAAUUUCACUCCACUUUUCGAAAAUGAAUCAGUCCUCUUAUGUAAAAUUAGCUUCAUGUUUGCAAAUCCGCUCAGAAUGUCUUAUUGAGUGUUUCUGUUUCUGCUGCUUAGUUGAGAACCUUGAUUAGGUGGUGAUUCUCGGUGAGAUUUUUUCCAACCCUAUUUCAAUAGAUGGUGCGAAUCGAGUUCUUCAUUGUAAUUCUGUAACUUGUAUUUCCACUGUCGUCAUCCACAGACUUUCUCAUGCCUAAUUCAUCAUGCUGUAAUUGCUGUUUUAACUUUUUGUAGCUUAGUACUUCCACAGUAUUAGUAAAAAGUUUCAACUUACCAAGAGUUUCAUUUUAUAUUGUUACUUAAGAUUUAGAUCGGUACUGAAAACUUUUCUUAUUCAUAUUUUUUAUUUUUAUUUUAUCAUAUUUUGUUUUUAAAUGCUUGAUUUAAUAUGUGGUAUAUAGGCUAUAUUUAUUUGCCAUGUUUAUGUAAUUUGAUUUUAUUACUUAUUUUGAAUUUUAUUAAAUCUUCACAUUAUAUUAUUCUUUACAGUCUUUAUUAGGGUAAUAUAAUAAUAUUAAGUUUAUUAUUGAUAUGACCAGCUAUUGAUUUUUGGUUAAUGUCUGAUGAAUGAAUAUUUAUCGGAUUCGUAUGCAUUUGAUGCAAGGGUUCUGUAGCAGGAAUAAACAGGACCCUACUAUGCAAUUCAAGAGCCCUGUUGCACACAAACACAAACCUUGUCCGAGGAAGUCUGAUUUUGGUCAGACGAAACGUUACAGAAAUACAUUUGUGUUAGUGUGCAGGGGCGUCCCUGAUUUACACAAGAGCAUAUUAAUUCAAUAUGUACUCGGCCUUGAUUAAGCAUACUGUGAACUGUGCUUUGGUAAUCAGUUGUUUUUUGAGUGUCAGAUACUCAGAUUUCAUGAUAUUUUAAAAGAGUUAUUUUAUGGAAUAAAAUUAUAGAUUGUCAAAAAUCACGCUAUGUUGAAAAAACAUUGGUGAUAUUACUAGUAAUCUGAAACCAGCAUUAUCUUUAUUGGUGGGAGGGCAUGAUUUGACAAUAAAGAUUAUUAAAUAUGGAUAACCGGGCUUUAUACAUACCCAUUGUUGUCUUGACUGGUUUCACUUUUUUUACAUUGGCCAAAUUUAGUUACAUAUAGAUAUUGUAUUGCAAUAUAGGAUACCUAAUAUACAAAUAUUGAUUUACAAGAUCAGGAGUGUCUUAAUAACAAUGGUCUCACAACUCCUUUCUAAUAUUUAUUUCUUAUCUGCAUUUCUUGUUGUUAAAUUAUGAUACAUUAUUACAGAGUGUUUGCGUUCCAAUAUAAAUUUGCAUAUAAGAAGAAAAAUAAUUGGAUUGUUGAAUGAAGUUCUGUAAUGCCUAUUUCAUGAAUAAUUUAAUAUUACUUCAAAAUUAUUAGCCCUGAUAUAUACAUUCCUGUUAAUUUUAUGAUUUUUUUUUAAUCUUUUUAGAAAAUUCCAGAUUUAGAGAUACAUGGAAAUUGAUAUUGAACAUCCUUCUUUGCUAACCUUGAAUUCUCAAACCAGAGUAAGAAGAAGUAAUUGUAAAAAAAAAUAAAAAAGAUGAGGAUUAUGGUUCAAAUCAACAAUCAUUUGUCACAAUAAAACUAUAUGGAAGAUUAGCAGCAUCCUGGACAGCUGAGAAGACUAUUCAUACAGAUUCUGAAUUCAUUGAACAAUUGCUUGAAAUCAA